GUUCCAUGACCAAGGGAUAUCAGGCCGGCGCAGUCGCUGGAUGCGGCACCCAAGGGAGGGUCACCGGGCGUGCUUCGACCGGCGGCCGCCUGCUCUCGUCGCCAGACACGAGCACUGUGCUGGAGAUGGAGGGGAGGAGCAGUGAGGACAACGGGAGGAAAGCUUCUCUGGUGGCAGGCUGUGGGAAACCCCCAAUGGAAGGCAGUGUGGGGAGGAUGAAGGCCUGUUCUUAGUCCACCUUACCUCAGCUGCCUGUUCGUAUGACCUUCUCCUGCUCCUCCUCCUCCUCCUCGGUCGAUCCACAUGAAUCCGCAAGUAUAAAUUUUUUAUUUGGUUUGCGUUAUUGUGUUAUUGAUUGGCAUUCUAUAUAUAAAUUGUUCCAAAAAUCACUAUGCACUUUCUUUUUUUUAUAUUUCCUUACCAUCAUUCGGACUGAUGUGAGGUCAUCAGCAUUUGAAAGCUGGUGUGACUUUUAGGACACUUUUUAUAACAAACAAAAGAAUAAUUAAAGUCAUCCAUUCUUAAUCAAAAUGUAAAGUGAUUUGCUUUAUUUCAUUUGGAGUCAUCCAAGGGGGGGAAACGUCACUUUUCUUAAGGAAUAGAAACAUCUCAGGACAUAGAGACACUGUUUUUUGUUUUUGUUUUUUUCCUUACAAGACAAUGACAUGGAUGGCUCCAUGUGAGUCACAAGCAGCCGCAACGCCAAAAAGUUACAACAUGCACCAAACGAUAGAACAUUUAUACAGAAACGACAGCAUAGAAAGUCAACAGGUAGAAAUGUUUUUGUUUGUUUGUGCGUUUUGUACAAAACGGACCAAGCUGGGGACCCCAUAAACAACAUUGUAGAAGAGCUUUCCCUAUAAUCUUUUUGUCUAUUUCCCUGGUGUACUUUACAAAGACCGAUGGCUUAGGCAAGGUUGGGGUCAAUUCCACUGAGAGCUUCAAAUAUAAAAAAAUAUAGAGAGAUUUUUUUUUUUUUUUUUGUAAUUUGUUCUAGUUGGUCAUUGGCCUCAUACUCCUAUACUGCUUUUCUUUUAUUGUCUUCCCCUCUAUAAACAUGCCCUGAAUGGACCCCAACCCUGUGAUACAGCGAUAGAGGGG